rnacentral:miRNA from 1 species
UGGUAUAUAUCUGUGGGG